rnacentral:lncRNA from 1 species
CGGGUAUCAAAGUGUUUAGUACAGGAUUUCUCUCUAUGAAGCUAAGAAAGAUAUACACUCAGAACAUGGAGGCUUAAAAUUUAUGAAAAAGCAACAAGCACAUAUUGAUCACAUGAUAGGCAUACAAUCAACUAAGAAUUCAUACCCUUGUUACCACAACCCUACUUAGCAUCAAAACAAUUAAUGUAAAAGGUUGUAAUGGUGAUCAAGUUGGGCUAUGUGUAUAGAUCGGCAAAAGGAAUUCAAGGACUUCCAAGUAUGUAGUUAGACAUUUCAUCAAAUAUUUCAAUAGAUCAAAUCAUUUACAUCAAUGCAUUCCUCAAAGUUUCAAUUUCUAACAUCAAUCCAUGUUCCUUUUUUUCUUUCUCCUCUCUCUGACUCUUUUUUUUUUAAGAUUUAUCAUUUCACGUGAGCUCUUAUCAACUCUUAUCACUUUUCUUCGUUACUUUUCUUCUCAAAUGACAUUUAAUACCUACUAUACGCUUAGAAGCAUAAAGGUUUGAAAAAUGAAUGUUUAUAAACUUUAUUCCAAUGUGAAGAAGUAUGGAUAACAUAUGCGCAUGAAAAGAAAUAGUUACAUAUGUG